GCCUAUGGGUUCAAAUAAUCAGGCUCUUUUAUAAUUAAGAAAGCAAAUGCAGAACUUUAAAGUCUUGCGUCAGCUUGUUUAAAAUCAAUGCUUUCUGCAUCUUCUCCUGCAGAACAAAGGACUUACAAUAUGGAUUAGGCAAAUCCCAAACAAUAAUUAGUUAUUCAUAUUCAGGCAGAUCCAAUGAAGACCCAUUACAAAUAACCAAACAGUGGCCCAAUGCCACACCCCAUAAGAGUGAAGCCCACAACAAAUACAACCAGGCCCGCCCGGUUUCGGCCUAUGAUUGAAGCCCAAUAACAGACCCGACUGGAGUCCAAUGGCAUAUCCAAAACCCAAUUAGGGUUCCAUCUCAAGUCCUCAACGCCGCCAAUCUACAACCCUAGGAUAUGAACCCAUCAAACGAUCCAGAUCAAUCUCAAAUUAGGGUUUACCCUAAUACAUCUCCAUUGUCAACUCUCAAGCAGACCCUAGUUGCUCUCAAGCUGAGCCAUGCCCAGCUCCCGUCGCUGUCGUCCGAGCCUCUGACGUUGCCGCCGAUUUCAGCUAUCCAUCACAAAUCAAUCAAACAAAAGAAAAUCAAUCA